rnacentral:rRNA from 1 species
UACGUAGGGGCCAAGCGUUGUCCGGAUUUAUUGGGCGUAAAGAGCUCGUAGGCGGCUCGGUAAGUCAGCUGUGAAAUCUCCACGCUCAACGUGGAGGGGUCAGCUGAUACUGCCGUGACUUGAGUCUGGUAGGGGAGUGCGGAAUUCCCGGUGUAGCGGUGAAAUGCGCAGAUAUCGGGAGGAACACCAGUGGCGAAGGCGGCACUCUGGGCCAGUACUGACGCUGAGGAGCGAAAGCGUGGGGAGCGAACAGG